UGGGGAAUCUUGCACAAUGGGCGAAAGCCUGAUGCAGCGACGCCGCGUGGGGGAUGAAGCAUCUCGGUGUGUAAACCCCUUUCGAUUCGGACGAAUUCCCGUAAGGGAGUGACGGUACGGAUAUAAGAAGCCUCGGCUAACUACGUGCCAGCAGCCGCGGUAAGACGUAGGGGGCCAGCGUUGUUCGGAGUUACUGGGUGUAAAGGGUUCGUAGGCGGUGCGGCAAGUUGGGAGUGAAAUCUCUGGGCUUAACACAGAGGCUGCUUCCGAAACUGCUGUGCUCGAGUGUGGGAGAGGAGCGUGGAAUUGCAGGUGUAGCGGUGAAAUGCGUAGAUAUCUGCAGGAACACCGGUGGCGAAAGCGGCGAGCUGGACCAAUACUGACGCUGAGGAACGAAAGCUAGGGGAGCAAACAGG
rnacentral:rRNA from 1 species